rnacentral:rRNA from 1 species
GUGACGAAGCGACGCCGCGUGUGGGAAGAAGGCCUUCGGGUUGUAAACCACUGUCGGGAGUUAGGAAAUGCAGGUGCGUUAAUAGCGCACUUGCUUGACUAAGGCUCCAGAGGAAGCCACGGCUAACUCUGUGCCAGCAGCCGCGGUAAUACAGAGGCGGCAAGCGUUGUUCGGAAUUAUUGGGCGUAAAGAGCACGUAGGCGGCCUUGCAAGUCAGUUGUGAAAGCCUUCCGCUUAACGGAAGAACGGCAUCUGAUACUACAGGGCUUGAGUACGGGAGGGGAGAGUGGAACUUCUGGUGGAGCGGUGAAAUGCGUAGAUAUCAGAAGGAACGCCGGCGGCGAAAGCGACUCUCUGGUCCGAAACUGACGCUGAGUGUGCGAAAGCUAGGGGAGCAAACGGGAUUAGAUACCCCGGUAGUCCUAGCCGUAAACGAU